AUGAACGCUGACAGAAUGCUUAACACAUGCAAGUCAACUUGAACUUCGGUUUGGGUGGCGGCCGGGUGAGUAACGCGUAACGAACUUGCCUCACAGCUAGGGACAACAUUUGGAAACGAAUGCUAAUACCUGAUAUUAUGAUUUUAGGGCAUCCUAGAAUUAUGAAAGCUAUAUGCGCUGUGAGAGAGCUUUGCGUCCCAUUAGCUAGUUGGAGAGGUAACGGCUCACCAAGGCGAUGAUGGGUAGCCGGCCUGAGAGGGUGAACGGCCACAAGGGGACUGAGACACGGCCCUUACUCCUACGGGAGGCAGCAGUGGGGAAUAUUGGACAAUGGACCAAGAGUCUGAUCCAGCAAUUCUGUGUGCACGAUGAAGUUUUUCGGAAUGUAAAGUGCUUUCAGUUGGGAAGAAAAAAAUGACGGUACCAACAGAAGAAGUGACGGCUAAAUACGUG
rnacentral:rRNA from 1 species